UCGAACUCACGAAAAGUGAGAUCUUGACCUGAGCUGAAGUCAGACGCUUAACUGACCAAGCCGCCCAGGCAUCCCAACUUUUGUUCAUCUUUAAUACAAAACAGGUAAAAGCAAAGAUGAUCAUGUGGAACAUGGAGUGGAAAGUCAAGAGCAUGACCCAUCUGGUUCUGUGUCCCUCUCACCAACUUGAUUUUUUCAUGAGACGUUUCUGGUCCAAGGACUUAGUGUGGAAACCACUUAUCUAAUGCAACUUGCUCAGUUUACAACAGGACAUAAAGUGACCUACCCAGAAUCCCAUAGUUAGUUACUUGGGAGACCAGCUCUCUGUACAGUGAUGUUUCUACUACAUCAUAUUUGGAGCAUCAACGACAAUCCUCCUACUUCCUGAGCCCUCUGUAACCUUUCCUACUCCUCAUGUCAGCAGAGUUCCAUUCAUUAUCUUCUUCUUCCCAUGUUAGUCAAUGGACUUCAUCUCAUUACUGAAAUUCUCCUGACAGCUUAAAGAAAAAUAUAUUGACUCCGCAUACUCAUGAAAGCAGAGUAGGGAGCCGUGGAUAUGCCUUCCUCAGCUAGAGCCCACAGUGACUGUUGGUCCAGAACAUGCCCUGGGAUGGAGGGUUCCAGUCCAGGACCAAAGCUGGUUGGGAUGACAAACCUACCCACAGGACUAUGCUAUUGGAAGUGCGGUGACAUACAAAUCACUUAAUGGAUUGUCAGAUGCCUGGUUGUGCUCAGAAGCCCUUCUCGCUAAGAAGAACAAUGAGACAUGCCAUCUGGUGACAAAGACAUCUUCCUUUGCUGCUUCUGUCCCCUCAUUAAAGCUUCUGCCUUCCGUCUUCUGUCCCAGACAAGGCUCUCUGAGUUGUACAAUGUGAUCAUUCCCCCAGGACCCUGGGGUGGAUAUGUGGAGAUAAGAAAUGGAGUUUCUGAGACAGCCGAGUGACAACGGGAAGACCAUAAAGCUGCUGAGAGCCGACCUGGUACUUGGAUCCAAACCUUCCAGUGUUUUUCCUCCCAAGCCAUGCCAUGUCUCUUAUAUACUUGAUAAAACCCAAUAAA